rnacentral:sRNA from 1 species
GUAGAGACGGGGUUUCACCAUGUUAGCCAGGAUGGUCUCAAUCUCCUGACCUCGUGAUCCACCCGCCUUGGCCUCCCAAAGUACUGGGAUUACAGGCGUGAGCCACCGUGCCCGGCCACACUGUGAUUUCUUAUACUUUAUGGAUGCUACUGAUCCCAUAGUGAAAUCAGCUUGGUAAUAACUUAGAAAUUUCAUGUCCUUCUUUCUAGAUGAAUUCUUUCCUGUGUUUUUUUUUAUUUGCUGUAUUAAUUGGUCGAAAGGAGCUUUUUGCUGCAUUUGGUUUUUAUGAUAGCCAACCCACUCUUAUUGGACUAUUGAUCAUCUUCCAGUUUAUUUUUUCACCUUACAAUGAGGUUCUUUCUUUUUGCCUAACAGUCCUAAGCCGCAGAUUUGAGUUUCAAGCUGAUGCAUUUGCCAAGAAACUUGGGAAGGCUAAAGACUUAUAUUCUGCUUUAAUCAAACUUAACAAAGAUAACUUGGGAUUCCCCGUUUCUGACUGGUUGUUCUCAAUGUGGCAUUAUUCUCAUCCU